rnacentral:misc_RNA from 1 species
AAGUCGUAACAAGGUUUCCGUAGGUGAACCUGCGGAAGGAUCAUUAAGAAAAGUCCCGGUGCCGCAAGGCGCCUACCUUUUAAACCAUGUGAAAACACCCGUUGCUUCGGCGGCAGCGUGCCCGACCCCGCCCUCCCACUUGGGGGGGGGAGACGAAGGCGCGUGUCAGUCCGCAGGGCUCCAAACCGAAACCUUUCCGUAACCGUAGUCUGAUAAACAAAGAUUAUUCGUUAAAA